AUCGUCUUUCAGGGCCUCCCUUGUUUACUGUAAUCCUCUUGUGUAAAUAAAGCACAUACAUUUAGGCCAGGGUCUUGCUGAGGGGCAGCUGUCCCAUCC